AGGACGAACGCUGGCGGCGUGCUUAACACAUGCAAGUCGAGCGGAAAGGCCUUUCGGGGUACUCGAGCGGCGAACGGGUGAGUAACACGUGAGUAAUCUGCCCAUCGCUUCAGGAUAGCCAUCGGAAACGGUGAUUAAUACUGGAUAUGACAUUCCUUCGCAUGUUGGGGUGUGGUAAAGUUUUUUCGGCGGUGGAUGUGCUCGCGGCCUAUCAGCUUGUUGGUGGGGUAAUGGCCUACCAAGGUCUUUGGACGGGUAGCCGGCCUGGAGAGGGGUCGACCGGGCCAACGACGUGGGACUGAGACACGGCCCAGACUCCGUACGGGAGGCAGCGAGGUAGGGAAUAGUUGGACUAAGUGGGACCGGAAGCCUGGACUACCGAGACCAACGCCGCGGUGGAGGAU
rnacentral:rRNA from 1 species